rnacentral:rRNA from 1 species
UCACUUUCAACAACGGAUCUCUUGGUUCUCGCAUCGAUGAAGAACGUAGCGAAGUACGAUAAGUAAUGUGAAUUGCAGAAUUCCGUGAAUCAUCGAAUUUUUGAACGCAAAAUGCACUCUCUGGUAUUCCAAGGGAGUAUGCCUGUUUGAGGGUUAAUU